rnacentral:pre_miRNA from 1 species
UCUUACAAAUGAGUAAAGAAAGUGGCUCCUUGAGAUGGAAUCUACUUCUGGUGAAGAUGCUGUGAA